rnacentral:rRNA from 1 species
AGAGUUUGAUCAUGGCUCAGGACGAACGCUGGCGGCGUGCUUAACACAUGCAAGUCGAACGAGGUCCAUCCGGUAGCAAUACUGGUGAAGACCUAGUGGCGAACGGGUGCGUAACACGUGAGCAACCUGUCCCGAAGACCGGGAUAACACCGGGAAACCGGUGCUAAUACCGGAUAUCCCCAUCUGACCGCAUGAUCGGAUGAGGAAAUGGAUUCCGCCUCGGGAGGGGCUCGCGGCCUAUCAGCUUGUUGGUGGGGUAACGGCUCACCAAGGCUCCGACGGGUAGCUGGUCUGAGAGGACGACCAGCCACACUGGGACUGAGACACGGCCCAGACUCCUACGGGAGGCAGCAGUGGGGAAUCUUGCGCAAUGGGCGAAAGCCUGACGCAGCAACGCCGCGUGGGGGAUGAAGGCCCUCGGGUUGUAAACCCCUUUCAGCAGGGACGAAAUUGACGGUACCUGCAGAAGAAGCCCCGGCCAACUACGUGCCAGCAGCCGCGGUAAUACGUAGGGGGCGAGCGUUGUCCGGAUUUAUUGGGCGUAAAGAGCUCGUAGGCGGCUUGGCAAGUCGGGUGUGAAAACUUCAGGCUCAACCUGGAGCGGCCACUCGAUACUGCCAUGGCUUGAGUCCGGUAGGGGAACACGGAAUUCCUGGUGUAGCGGUGAAAUGCGCAGAUAUCAGGAGGAACACCAGUGGCGAAGGCGGUGGUCUGGGCCGGAACUGACGCUGAGGAGCGAAAGCGUGGGUAGCAAACAGGAUUAGAUACCCUAGUAGUCC